GUACGAACCGUGCGAACGUUAUUCGGAAUCACUGGGCUUAAAGGGCGCGUAGGCGGGCCCGUUAGUCAGGGGUGAAAUCCCACGGCCCAACCGUGGAAGUGCCCCUGAUACUGCGGGCCUCGAGGGAGGUAGGGGCGUGCGGAACUCAGGGUGGAGCGGUGAAAUGCGUAGAUAUCCUGAGGAACACCGGUGGCGAAAGCGGCGCGCUGGACCUCUUCUGACGCUGAGGCGCGAAGCCAAGGGAGCGAACGGG
rnacentral:rRNA from 1 species